rnacentral:misc_RNA from 1 species
UCCCCGUUACCGGGGCAGUCUAGCUAGAGAAAUUCAACUAACUAUAAGGGUUGCGCUCGUUGAUGGACUUAACCAAACAUCUCACGACACGAGCUGACGACGGCCAUGCAUCACCUGUCACUGCGUUCCCGAAGGCACAGUCUCCUUUCGGAGACCUUCACAGGAUGUCAAGCCUUGGUAAGGUUCUGCGCUUAUCAUCGAAUUAAACAACACACUCCACCGCUUGUGCGGGUCCCCGUCAAUUCCUUUAUGUUUUAGUCUUGCGACCGUACUCCACAGGCGGGAUGCUUAACGCGUUAGCUUCGCUACUACCGGGGUCGAUACCGAUAACAGCUAGCAUCCAUAGUUUACGGCGUGGACUAC